GAUGAAGAACGCAGCGAAAUGCGAUAAGUAAUGUGAAUUGCAGAAUUCAGUGAAUCAUCGAAUCUUUGAACGCACAUUGCGCCCGCCAGUAUUCUGGCGGGCAUGCCUGUCUGAGCGUCAUUUCAACCCUCAAGCAACUUCUGCUUGGUGUUGGGGAUCGGCCGUCAAACGCCGCCCCCGAAAUCUAUUGGCGAUCUCGCUGUAGCUUCCUAUGCGUAGUAGUAACAUCUCGCAUCUGGAGAGCGGGGCGGUCAUGCCGUAAAACACCCAACUUCUCAGGUUGACCUCAGAUCAGGUAGGAAUACCCGCUGAACUUAAGCAUAUCAAUAAGCGGAGGA
rnacentral:misc_RNA from 1 species